GAUGGUUCAGAGCAAUGAAGGCUAUGAGGAGCAAAUAUCCCACAGACAGCAGUUUCUGCCCUGCCCCUCUGCCUACAGCAUCCCAGAAAUGUGUCAACAACACAGGGCUGGAGCAGGAGAUGGAGCUCUCCCACCCUGUGCUGGGCUGUCCCUGGGCUGGGGGGACAUUUGGCCAUUAGGGCAUCUCCUCCAGUUCUGCUGACUUGAGGCAAACAUGAAGUUGGAAUUUUGGAUUUUUAUUAAGGGCUUUUCAGGCAAAGUAGGAAAUGCUAAUCUUAACUAAGAGUCAUAUCAUAUGUAUGCAAAUUGUUUGCUCUACUUUCUCCAUCUGUUUUCUUCCCAGGUUUUUCUCUGCGCUAUGCUUUACUGGAGAUUAACUUACAGUAUAUUGCACCAAAUUUGGACUGUGUGGGAAACAUAUGCUGCAAGCUCAAGGCCAGACUCGAAUAUUGGGUUGCACAGGAAUAGGAAUAUUCACAGCAGUGCUAAGGACUGACAAACCCACAGGGACAGGAAAUUCAGAGACACCAGGCAGAUGGUGCCAACCCAUAUGUUGAUGAGUACAUGCCACAGGAGAGCAUCUGAUCCGACAGAGCCAGCCCCAAACUACAGUGAUGUCUGAGCUGAGGACUUCAGUGCCUGCCACCACACAGGACCACACUUCUCAGCAUGCUGUGAGAGCUCAGAUGGGCUUUCAAAACUAUACCAGUCCUGGUAUCUAAGAUACUUUUGAAAAGGUACUUUAGGCAUCUCUAUACAGCAGCAUGACUGUCCUCAAAAGUGAUAUUUUUUCAAGCUAAUUUUUACUGUGCUACCCAUGUAACUCAGGUGGACUAAAGGUGACACUUGCAUUUGAUAAAUAUAAAGGAACAUAGUUUUGCAUAUGCAAACCAACAAAUAAUUUUCGUGAAAUAUGAUUCAACAGCCAUGCAGGUAACAACUUUCCCAAAGCAUCUUUUUCUCCCUGCGUUGUCAGAGAGACUCCCGCUGCCCUCCCUGCCUUUGAUUUUGUUUGAAAUACAUCCCCUGAUAACCUAAAGAGAAGUACUUAUGAAGAGCUCAGAGCUAUUUAUAGCAAAGUCUGUGUGACUGAAAACAUUGCAGUUUUCUUGUGGUGGGUACUUGCAUUGCUUAUGAACUGCAACUGGAAAACUGUUGCCUCCCUCUUUAGCAAUUCUAGUCAGCAUUCCCAAGGCAAGAGAGAGGGAGCCAAGGAAGGAAACAGACAUAAGGACAAAACGCAAACAAACUGAAAAUUUACCAAUCACUUAUAUUCAGAAACUGAAGCGGGGGGUGGGGUUUGGGUACAAGAAAGACUCAUCUCAAUCUGCAUUUCAAACUGCUGGAAAUGGGCAUACAAAGUGGAUUAGCAUGAUCACACCAGUAUUCUUCAGCAAGGGUAUUGUGCAAGCCCCUGAGAACAGGCAUAAUCUCUCGUAAUUACUGGAUACACUGUUGUCACAUUGAAUAACAACCUUUCCUCAAAACAUUUAAUAGUCUACUCCCCAUCGAUUCUUCCAACUGGGCGUUGGGUGCGAUUGUCAACAGACCCAGGAAUACAGCAAGCAAAGCUCACUCCUGGAUGCUGAUCUGCAAAUCCCACAUGAACUAGUUUCAUAGCUGUGUUUUAUUUGAAGUGAAAAUAAAUGAGGUACAGCAAGA